rnacentral:rRNA from 1 species
AUGCUUCUUGUAAGAAGUGCCCGCAUUGUCCUUGCCCUUCCGUUUCUAGUUGCUAUCCCAAUAAUCAUCGCGCUUUCUUUGAUGUUCAAACUCAAAACAUUUGUUUCUAAGCUCUCUUUUUUUCUUCUGCUCAAGGCCAUGCCUUGGAUCCUUUUCUCUAGGAAUUUCACGUCUGUUACGGCCCUUGUUUGGGCUAAGAACCUCAACUCCGUGCCUGAUGAGGACAUGGCUAUCUUGGAUAUGAUCAAAAAUAUUGCAUACGUGCAUAUUUAUGAGGUGAAUUUUAAUGUAAACUAUGCAAUAAUUUAUUUAUAUUAUCCAGGACAAAAAUACUUGACAGACUUUUGUGCUAUGUCUAAUUGCAUGUCUAUGGGACAUUUGUACAAUCCACAUAUGAAGAAAAGGGGAAAAAGAUAA